rnacentral:lncRNA from 1 species
GGUGGAGGUCGAAGGAGGUGGAAGCGUGAGGAAGUCCUCCAGCCCCUCCCCAAAUCCCAGUUCCCCUUUCCAUGUCCCUCCAUGGGGUCUCCGGAUGAUCCUAAGCUCAGAAUCCAACUAUGAAGUGCAGAAUGUACGGGCAUAGGGGAGGAGGACUUUGCUCCUCUCUCUGGUAGAAAAAUAGAUCUGGAAUGAAUUUGGGGAUUUGGCGGUUUUUUUUGUUUUUGUUUUUUGCAUCAUUGGGUGCUUGGGUUUAGGGAAGGGUGGUCUUUGCCGAUUUUCUCCUGGCUUUCAACUCCGGAAGCCUGGGGAGGCGCUGGUAGUGCUGGGGUGGGGACAUCCCUUCAUGUGUCCCUGGCCUCAGACUGUCUCCUUGCCAGCCUCCAGGAGUGAGUGAUACCUCGGAGCCCUUGGAGGGACACAGCUCUGGGGACUAUUUGCCUAGAAGGUGGGAGGGGGAUGGAAGAUGCUGUGAAGUGUGGGGAUGCAGGGAGUGGAGUGGUUCCAGGGAACAGUUUCCCCACAGGGCUGGGAGGGGGUGGCCAUGCAGAGGUGGGGUGAGGGGGAAUCCAGCAUCCGUGCAGGUUGCAGCCAGGACCUGGGCUUCCUUCCCCACAGGCUCCCUCGACCAUGCAAUUUCAUGUCAUGAGAAGCCGGCUCUGGGCACCAGUGAGUGUGGGAUACUGUGUGACUGGGCUGCCAGGAUCUAGACUUGGGGCCUGAACAUUUGGGACCGGGCGCCUGGAAGAUUCAGAUCAGAAACCAGGGAUUAAGGGCUUGGGAUUCAGUGCCUUGGAAUAUCAGGGUCUGCCUUCAAGAGAUGAGGUUUCAACAUUGAGGGACUGGGCAGAGGGAUUGGGGAUCCAGAAUCUGUAAUCCAGCAGCUGCAGUUGCCAGGAUCCACUUGCUGUGCCACUGGGGCCCCCACACUUGUUUUAGGAGACAGAAUCUGGUGGGUGGGGGCUUGGGAAUCUGGGAUCCAGUGCCUGGGGGUGGAAGGCAUAGUGCUUGAAAUGUAGGGAUGUGGCAGUCAGAGCAGAAGGAUCUGAGACCCAGUGUCAAGGUUAAAAAAAACCAAAAAACAAAAAGCAAUGCAGGAAUCCAGUGGAUGGGGUGAGGGGAUCUGGGAUCCAGUGAUGCGGGCCCCAGGAUCCAGGCAUUGCGGUUGUCAGGAUCCAGUGGUGAGGUUUGUUGACAUCCAGAAUCCAGCAGCUGAGCUUGGAGAUCCAGGGCUCGACACAUGGGGAUCUGGGGUUGGGGAUCUAGGAUCCAGCGUUUCACUAGGACACUGGAUCUGGUGCCUGAGGGAGGCAGGGUCUGGGUGUUGAGGUACAGGGAAUCCGUGCUCCUGUGGUUGGGGUGUCGGGAUCCAUUCACUGAUUUGUGUGGAAUCCAGUGGUUAAGACGUGGAGGUCCAGGAUCCAGUAGGGGGCACAGGGAAGCGUGGGAUCCACCUUGGGAUGUGGGGCUGCAGGAUCCAGUGAUUUGGGGGAUGGGGAUUAAGGGCUGGGGUGUGGAUAAUCUUGGAUCUUGUGGUUAGGGUAGCAGACUUGAGUUGCUGAAGUAAGGGAUCCACAGUUAUGGUUACAGGGGGAUCUGGGAUCUAGUGGCUGGAGGAUGGAGAUCCCAUGACCCAGUGGUUGGGGCAUAGGAGUCUAGGAUCCAGGAUCUGAGUGCUGGGAUCCCAUGACCCAAUGGUUGGGGCAUAGGAGUCUAGGAUCCAGGAUCUGGGU